AAGGCAUCAGCGCCUUGCUGAACGGUAGCUAGCUCAGGUCAAGGACAACUUGAGGGGAGAUUUUGCAGCCCUGGUCCACAAGGUGGCACACUUGUUUUCUGAGGAAGCACGCUGUCCAAUCAGAGCCGAGGAAGCAGGGAGAGACCAUGUGAGCGCAGACAGCAGGGAUGUUCAACGGCGCUUCGGCAGAGCCUCGUCGACGCUGACCCUACCAGCUCUUCCCCGCGGCGUCCCCUCGUCUGCGGGCAGUGGGUGGUACAAUCCGCCAGGCUG